CCCGCUGCACUUCAGCAUGAUCUAUAAGCGUAGGACAAGAAACCAUACCGGGAUUGCCUUAGUAUCGGCCAGUGAAGCGGCAAAAGCUCAAAUUUGAAAUCUGGCAGUAAUGUCCGAGUUGUAAUUUGAAGAAGGUUACUCUGGUGAUAGCUCUGGCGAUAUGUUCCUUGGAACAGGGCGUCUAUAGAGGGCGAGAAUCCCGUAUAUGGCGAGAUGACAUAUUACCAUGUUAAGUGCCUUCGAAGAGUCGAGUUGUUUGGGAAUGCAGCUCUAAGUGGGUGGUAAAUUCCAUCUACAGCUAAAUAUUGGCGAGAGUCCGAUAGCGAACAAGUACAGUGAUGGAAAGAUGAAAAGAACUUUGAAAAGAGAGUGAAAAAGUACGUGAAAUUGUUGACAGGGAAGGGCUUGAAAUCAGACUUGGUAUUCAAUGAUCAAUUUUCUUUCGGGGAGAUGCACUCCCUGUUUACUGGGCCAACAUCGAUUUAGCCGGUGAGAUAAUGACAGUUGACAUGUGGCUUGCUUCGGUAAGUGUUAUAGCUUCGGUCGAUAUCAUCAGUUCGGAUCGAGGACUGCGCAUUUUUGCUAGGAUGUUGGCGUAAUGAUUUUAAGCCACCCGUCGUGAAACACGG
rnacentral:rRNA from 1 species